rnacentral:rRNA from 1 species
ACCCGUUCCCAUACCGAACACGGAAGUUAAGCUUCUCAGCGCCGAUGGUAGUUGGGACGCGAGUCCCUGUGAGAGUAGGACGUUGCCAGGC